rnacentral:sRNA from 1 species
ACCAGGCAUGGUGGCACUUGCCUGUAAUCCCAUUGACUCAGGAGGCUGAGGCAGGAGGAUCAUGAGUUCAAACAUAGCCUCAGCAGUUUAGCAAGGCCUUAAGCAACUCAGUGAGACCCUGUCUCUA